rnacentral:rRNA from 1 species
CACGUAGGGUGCGAGCGUUGUCCGGAAUUAUUGGGCGUAAAGAGCUCGUAGGCGGUGUGUCGCGUCGGCCGUGAAAACCUGCAGCUUAACUGUGGGCUUGCGGUCGAUACGGGCAUCACUGGAGUUCGGCAGGGGAGACUGGAAUUCCUGGUGUAGCGGUGAAAUGCGCAGAUAUCAGGAGGAACACCGAUGGCGAAGGCAGGUCUCUGGGCAUUGAACUGACGCUGGAGGAGCGAAAGCCAUGGGGAGCGAACAGGA